GAUAGCUAUCUUUUAUGAUUGAUCUUCCUCAGAUCGGUUAUGGCCAACCUUCAAAUACCUUGGUCAUGGCCGAGAUCUGAGCUACCACCCAUAAGGUAAUAGUUUCAUAGGUAAAUCGGAUCGGAGUUCCACAUUUGACUCCUUCAGAUCAGCCAAGAUUGACCUCUUGCUAUUUUUGUACCUGCCGAGGAUCGAGCCGUCUGAGUCCUUGGUAGAUGCCGAGGAUGCAGUCGAUUAAGAUCAAGGUGGUGAUCUACAAUAGAUGCCCACUUUCAAACCUGAGCUUGGGCUAAGGUCAGUCAAAAAGAGUAUGAGCCCGAGGUCUUCGAGGUCGAACUGACGUGCUA
rnacentral:lncRNA from 1 species